rnacentral:rRNA from 1 species
GAUGAACGCUGGCGGCGUGCCUAAUACAUGCAAGUCGAGCGAACAGACGAGGAGCUUGCUCCUCUGACGUUAGCGGCGGACGGGUGAGUAACACGUGGAUAACCUACCUAUAAGACUGGGAUAACUUCGGGAAACCGGAGCUAAUACCGGAUAAUAUAUUGAACCGCAUGGUUCAAUAGUGAAAGACGGUUUUGCUGUCACUUAUAGAUGGAUCCGCGCCGCAUUAGCUAGUUGGUAAGGUAACGGCUUACCAAGGCAACGAUGCGUAGCCGACCUGAGAGGGUGAUCGGCCACACUGGAACUGAGACACGGUCGAGACUCCUACGGGAGGCAGCAGUAGGGAAUCUUCCGCAAUGGGCGAAAGCCUGACGGAGCAACGCCGCGUGAGUGAUGAAGGUCUUCGGAUCGUAAAACUCUGUUAGUAGGGAAGAACAAAUGUGUAAGUACCUAUGCACGUCUUGACGGUACCUAAUCAGAAAGCCACGGCUAACUACGUG